GCUGGAGAUUCCCGUAUACCUGUGGCCUUUGGGAGGAAGGAAUUCUGCCUUCUAAAGAUGCACAUACAAACACCAUAAAUUGCUCUGCCUGGGAAUUUUGAGGCAUGUUCUAUUUUCUAAGCCACUGGGCACUCCUGUGUGACUGCAGGAAGACUGCAUUCAUCCACAGCAGGAAAACUCACACCAAGGUGGCAGGUUGUGCUCAUGAGAAGGAGAAGCAGGAAUUUAUGAUAUCGAAGCUGGGAGGAGCAGUUCUUUUGGAGAAACACACACAAGCCAUUCUAGUUUAACCCAGUGACCUUCAGCUUCAUCUUUGCUGCACCUCCAGUGGUAAUAAGCAUGUCAAAGAAAAAAUGAAGAUAAUUCCACUUUCCCCAGGAACUUAGUCUGCCCAUUAAUUGAGUUGCAUUUCUUUAAGCUCAUGGUUUACUUCUGGGAAAGAAAUCUCUAAUUCAGCAUAGCAGUUGCCCUGUUCAGCUUGGAAGUCAGUGGUUCAUGAAGACCGUGCCUGUCUAGCCAGUCAGGUUUUGGGAUUCUUAUGCUGGGACACAUGUCGGACUCUGCAGAUGGCAUAGAGCUAAUGUAUGCUGCAGAUUCACACCCGGUAGCAAUUGCUUCUGAAACCACUGCCUCUUAGCUCCAUAUACCACAAAUAAAAUUACUUAUUCUGCACAAGCAAAAAACUUUCUGCUUGGUUUCUUGUUGGAAACAGAAAUCUUCCCUUUACCUAGCAAAGAAAAGGCGCACCUUUGUGUUCAUUCCAUGUGUGUGAAGAGCCUUCUCAAGUGUAUAUAAUUCACCCAGCAUCUCUUCAGGCAUCAGUCUCUCAUCCUACUGAGAAAGGAAUGUUACAAAGCCAUCUGUAAGAGGAGCAGAAUUACAUGAACCCGAAUAAACGACUGCCUUAACUACUCCAAAACCCACAAUCAGGGUACCUGAUAAUCAUUCAGAAAAGAAGCAGACUUGUGAUCCCAGCUUUUUUAACUGACACCAUCUGCCUCUUAGUCUCUUUCUCCUGCUGACACCAACAGGUUUUCACCUUCUGGUUCACGAACACCUUGCCAGAAUAAUUUCCAUCCCUGGCUGGAACCAGGCUGCCUUUUUCCUCACUCUGUCGUGCCUCAGGCAGAGCUUUCCCAGGAGCAGUGCUGGAAGACAGGAGGUCCUCCUCUGUCCUGGAGUGGCUGUGAACAUCUCUGGCACUGCUGUGUCAUGCACCUUUGUUUCUGGAGAGCAGAGUGGAAGGGUGGGUGAAGCAGGAAUGUGGAUCUGCCCACUGCUCAUAAGUACCUACCUGCAGACUUAGCACCAGCGAGGCACCUCCCCUCACACAGGGGAGCAGUGGGAAACCUGGCUCUUAAUAAAAGAAGGCUUUCAAAAGGCUGGCAGAGUGAACAAUGUCAGGCUUGAAACUUAAACGUUGCACUGGUUAUUUGGUGUUCCUACGGUGAAAGACCACAUUCCACAUACAAGAUGUAAAAGAUUAUUUUUCUUCAAAUUUGGGCACAUCUGUGGCCAUCAUAUUUCACUGACAAGAGCCAGGCAAAAGGAAAACGGAUUGUCUCACACAGUGCUGUCUCGGUGUACCUUCUCCUUCUAUGUACCAGUUAUCUGAACCUGUCCUCUGUUGUCUCAUGAGCUGUUGAUGAUUACAUCUAAUACAUUAUCUUUUAAACCCAGCAUGAAGCUAAUUACUGCCACCUAUAUCUCCAGGCACCUUGACUGCAGCUCUGAUUAUUCUUAGCUUUAUAUCAAGAAACCCCACUGACCCCUUACUGUAUGAAUUCCUCAUUUAUAGAUUUUUCUGUGCUGUGCAUGUAUUUCAGGCACAUCUUUACAGAAGGAAAUGCAGUCAAGGCCAGUUGUUUGCUGUAAGCAGAAACCUCCAUUUCUUGCUUUCCCUAAAUGCUUUCUAAUAAAAUUUGUGUUGGAACAUUGUUCUAAGAGCAUCCCUAUAAGGAAUAAUUCCAGUGACCUCAGCAAAUUACCUGUGAAUGAAUCUCACAUCAGCAAGGAAAGGGCAUUUUCUGCCUCUUUUUGGAGGUUUAGUUUUGCUGCCAGGGAGAAGGCUUUGACCUCCCCCUUUUGGGUACCAUAACUUAUUAUUUGUUCAGCAUUCCUUCACAAAACUUCAGAAGUGCAAAAUAUGCCUUUCUUCACAUAGUGAUGACAAGCUGUCAGUAAUGAAGGGCACGUUGUUCUGCCCUACAGUCCCAUGGAGGACGGUGCACCCACACCAUGGCAGCUUAGGGAUUAGGGGAACACCGGAGUUCUUUGCUUGAAUUUAUAAAGUUUGGCAGGGACAGUUCUCCAGGACUUCCUUGAAAGAGUGAAAAAACAAAAUACUCUUUAAACCAGAAACCCUCUCUUUGUCCUUGUUUCUCUAAUUAGACUAGGGGCAGUCCUUAAUGCCAUGAGCCUCAGGUGAAGACAAGCAAAAUGCAAGUUUGUGUGAACUGAGACCAAAUGUAAUAGAAGAUGUUUUGACUGGAUUGGCUUACUGUGUAUCAGUAAGGAUGAUAUUUUCACGUUUGUGGGGUCUGGUGUACUUCACCCUACACCAUUUAAGAUACUGUCUAAUUGUAUUUGCAUUAACCACUAUUUUUUAAGGUCUGGUGAAAAAUAUAUUUUAAGGUCUGGUGAAAAACAGGAGAGGUAUGAGAAGGUGGAUGAAAGGUAAGCAUUUCAUCUCUUUUGAAAAGCAUAGAGACUGGAUGAUCUCAGGGAUUACAAACUUGACAAUUCAGUUGUUAGAAGAAAAUGCCAACAACCAGACAGCAGGAUAACCUGCGUGCCCCAGUAAGAAAAAAUAAAAAGUGUAAGAAAUGGCAUAGAUCAAGGACAAAUUGUGGCAAACAUUUAAUUUCCUGCUACAGCAAGUUUGGGACUUUGCAGAUAGAGGAAAGGCAUUGGUGUCCUGCAUUUCAACUUAGAAAGGCUUUUCCAGUACAUCACAGGUUCUCAUAAGCAAACUGGAAAAGCAUGGUGAAGGAAGAAGUUAAAAAAGGGAGUUGGGACACCUUCUAUUUGGUCAAAUGUAAGGAUAAACAGAGGAGGCUAUAGAGUCUUCCCUGUCACCAUUCCUGUUUGGUGCUUUUUCUUACGUUCUGAUCAGAAUACAGCACAGUCAUUCAGGGUAGGGACAUACCAAGCAAGGGACUGGAGAGAAGAUCUUCAUCACAGAAUGACCUUGGGCAGACUGAGAUCCAGGAAGCGAGGUGCUGCUGAAUAGAAAGGAAUGCAAGCCACAGCUCUUGAGGAGAAACUGGGUGUAAAAACAGUUGAGAAUGACUAACUAGGUGGGAGUACUGCAGAAAUGCACAUGAAUAUUGUUGUGAAUUCUGUGUAAGAAAGCAAACAUCAUGCUAGGUUGCUAAAAUAGAAGAAAAAGUCUCUAAGGCAUUCAAAGGUUCCUACACUACACAGCACUGAAGGCCCAACCUGAAUACUGAGCUCCGUCUGUGCAAUAUAUUUAAAUGACAUGGAGAUAGAUAGCAGGAAAAGUUUUUCAGGAGUAGGAAUGGUGACAUGGAAGAACAGUUUCCCCAGCAAGAUAAGUUUUAACAACAAAUAAACUUUAUGUGGGCUUCUCGUUCCUCCUUUUCUUUAUUUGAUCUUCCCUUCCCUUCCUUCCCUUCCUCCUUGCAGUAGAUGGCAGUUUAAGGUGUGUUCCAGCUCAGUGACAGUAUACAAGCCCAGAGGUGCUGAAGAUAACUAUUACUUUAAAGAGUGAGAGGAAGUGAGAGAGAUUGAGUGCAAGAUGGAUUCAUCUGACAGGUAUUGUCACCCUGAGGGGACUAGCAAAAGACAUUUAAUUUUCAGUUAUCAACAACAGCCUUACCCUACAGGGAAAUACACAAACCCAUCUAAAAACCCACCACUUAAUUGCUUUGAACUACCCAUCCAGUGCUGCUUUACACCUCCAGAGUCUCUGAGGGUGCCUCACACAUGCUUUCAGGCUCCUGACACUACUUACAGCAGUGAAGUACAAUGCUGGGGUGACUUAGGGUGACUCUCUUCUGAUGUCCCCAUGAAGGCAAGGCUCCUGGGAUUUUCUCUAUGAAAACAGCUAAAAGAAGCUGAACACCUCCAACAUUUGGCAUCAGUUUAAGGUAUGUGUUGGUAUCAACACUGACAGGCAAAGAUCCCAAAUAUACUGCCCCUAGGAAAUGCAAGUGGAAGGAGUCUGAACAAUUUUCUUCUAACAAAUCCCUUCUAGCUAAAGUGUGCACCUCUUUGAAAGAUUGUGUGGACUUCCCACUCCCUUCUUUUCAUUUAUUUACCUUCUUCCCACUUCUCUUCCUCCCAGCUGCCAGCGACCUCCACUGAUGUCGGCUGUGGACAAAUGACACCCAGACAGGCACAUACCUACCCAGCCCUUGGGAAGCGUCCAUCUAGAGGAACUCUGCACUGCCACCCCUCUGCACAUCACAUAUCCCCAGGUUCCCCCUCCCACCUGGUGAGGGCUCAGAACCAGAGGAUGAGCACCACCCUUCUAUGCACCUUUCUACACGAUACGAACAUGAGUAGGUUUGGCCCAUCUGAAACUGCUUUUUGUCUUUUUUUUUCAAAUGUUCUGUUUUGGAGAUAGUGAUUUCCAGCUGCUUUGGAACAGUUGCCAAUCCCACAGGAGGGAAGGUAACAAGUGGCGGGAAAGACAGAGCCACCUCACUUCAUAUGCUUCCACCAUUCCCCAGUGUGGCUCAAUUCCAGAGGACCCUGGGAAGCCAUAGUAUCACCCUGACAAUAGCUGAUAUGACUCUUAAACUGUAGGAUGCUGUUUUUAUUCCUUUUGACAAAAUAUUUUGUAUUCUCAUCCUCCUGAGUCUCAGCACAGGAAAGCUGGCAUGGAGUUGUGAAGGAUUGUCAGGAACAGAUUUGUUUCUUACUCUGCAGAGAAGACUCAAGCCACCUAGCCAAAAUGCAUUUUACACCACAAUGCAAAAGAACAUCAGUGCAAAAUUCAUCAAAGCAUGUUUAAAUCUGUCUUUGUUUUUCAUCUCCACUAUUUCCUAGGAACAAAACCAUGGUUUUAAUGCCUUGGGUGGAGAUGGUUAUGAGGUGCAUAAACCCCAGAGAUGUUCUGGAAAUAAAUUUUCCUUCCUGAAGUGCAGGGGGCAAGAACCUUCUAAAGUAAAUGGCCAGGCCACAAGUUAAAUUCGCUGAUCUACUAUAGGUCAAAGAGAAACUAACUGGUGACAAUGUGCAGGAUGUAUCAUCAUUACCAUCAUUCAUGUUAAUUGUUCUAGUACCUUAAGACCAACUGCAGAUGGAUUGUUGUUGUACAAGAGUAGCUGACAGUUUCUGACCCAUGGAAGUUACCCUUCAGUAACCAGGAAGUUGAGAAAAGCAACUAGAACAUGCAAGCAGAAACACUCAUGCAUCAUAUUGAUCUCAGAGCAUUUAAUUUUAUUUCUGUCUCUCUGUGUGUAAGUUAAAUAAGAUAAAUGGAAAAAAUGAAUGCAGGAUAGAUAAGAAAGGGUAGAUGAGACAAGAGGGACAAAAUACACAUUUUUAAAACCUGAAUUUCUCUUUGACCUAGAAACUCUACAUUUUUGUCAAGUCUAGAAUGCAACUCACAUGUUUGCACACACAUUCUGCAGCCACAGUCCCAUCCACCUAGGGAGCUGUGGAAUUUGUUUCAUGAGACAUGCAGGUUGUCUGUCAGCCAUGGAGGUUUAGAAGUUGUUCUGCCUCUUUGUGUCUUUCAUCCAGCCACAGGAAUACAGCUCCUAGUUUGAUCUUUGUUACUGGCAAGCAUCCAUCCGUCAGUCCCAUCUGUUACGCUGAGCCUGUGUGUGACACAUGCAGCAGAUUGAGUCCCGAGGGCAGACUGAUGAGGGGCUGGUGCACACUUGCAUUUCUUACCAGUGACUGAAAUGUAUAUGCCAGCAUUUUCUGCAGAUGGAAAAUAGGGAAGUACUCAAAUGUCAGGGAGGGGUUUGGUGUCAGUACUUCUAAAAGUCAAUAACUCACAGACAAGAUGGCAGCCCCAUUUAGAGAUUUUAAUAUUUCCACUCCUAGAGCUGCCUCCAAAACAGGUCUUUGGCCAUCAUGCCCUGGAGCUGCUAGGAUAUUUCCAAAUUCUCUUCUACGACGUCCAGGGAUGUUCAGUGAGUUUCUUCCCUUCUACUUUCUGGGUGCAGAGGAUAUGAUGGCAAACCACAGAGGCAUUCAGAAGCUUUGGGUUUUAUUGCAUUUCUGCUUCCCUCUAUUUGAACAAUUCAGUCUCUAAAUAUCCUUCCUUCCACAUCAACUAUCAGUAUCAUCUACAAAGCAGGUUUUUUUUUUUGUACAGAAGAUUUAUUUCUGAACCUUGAAUUGAACAUAGUUCCUGGUCCUCCCAUGCUAGUACUGCAUAAGUAACUGUGUACUGAAGUGCUGCAAAUGAACUGAAGGAGUCACCCCAGGAGGUCAAAGGGCUGCUACUGAGACAUAAGAAAUGUGACAUCUAAGUGCUGCAGUUGUAUAAAAGCAGUAAUAGUGCAGCUGAAAACACAACUGAUAAUAAACCAAACAAGCAGAAAACUCACGCCUGUCAUCUGUUGAGGUCUGCACAAAAUACACCAAGUAUUGUGUGGAGGAAAUUGUGUGUACAAGUGGGCCAAUAUCCAAAUACAGUAUCAAAUGGUAUCACUCUAACUGAACAAAGGUAUGACUAGUGAUCAGAACAUCUAUGUGUGCUAAAUGUAUUGAUAUUUAGCCAAUAAAACAAUGUAAAAUGUGUGUAUGAGAACCAAAGAGAACACAAGAUGCAACGCAGAAAAAAUUAAGUAUAUACAUUAAGGAAAGCCUCAGGUUGAGCGCAGGCUACUGGAAAAUCAGACCCUACCCGGUGCUUUCAGGUCACCAACACAACACAAAGUAUGUGUGUAGCUUCUUCCCCCAGUAAGAAAAUCUGCCUGAUGAACCUGGUGUGCAGCUAACUGUGCAGUUUAUGCAGGCCUAGUUGAAACUGGGGAUAUCAUCUGCAACAGCAAAUGGGGACAAGAAAGGAUGAGCCCCAGCAUAGCGCUGUGUGAGGGUCCCCCUGCACUGCUCCCAUGUCCCUGACUCUCACGCUAUGGAAAAAGCUGCCCACAGCCCAAAGGCUGUCAGAACCACCAGCCAAAACCUUUGUAGAAACCCCAGCUUUUAUCUCCAUUCUUGUAACAAUGAGCAUAAACGAUUCCACAGAUCCAUCUGCUGCCUUCCCUGUCCUGACAAGUGGACUCUGAAGUUCUUUUAUUAAGCCAGCUGCAAAUCAAUUUCCUCACUGGAUCAGCACAGCACUGAAGCAAACAUAUAUGCAGUUUCUCGUAGGGCUGAGCUAAAUUAAACCCUAAUACCUUAUGGCAGUUUUUUCCUUCCAAUGUUCAGUGUAAUGUAGUUUCAUUUAAAGGACUAGGCUACCUCAAAAAUAAUAGCCUAGUUAAAGUAAUGCAUAAAACUGCAUGGGGAAAAAACAAACAAACAAAAGAACCCACAGAUUUUCUAGCUCUGAACAGCUAUUACCCUCUGUGACAAGACUAGGAAGGCAAUAUCCCUGAUUUCCACAUAGAAAUUCAUACAGGUCAUUGUAUUAAUCUUUUUUUUUUUUUUUUUUUUUUUUUUUUUUCCCCAGGUCUUAGCUCUUUGAACACCUUUUCACUUGUCACACAGGGAAACAUAUGGCUCUUACACAUAAUUGCUUUGUAUUUCCAAAUUCAUAUAUGGAUCCAAUUGCCACACCACUUGCAAGCUGUUGUUUAUUAGAGCAUUGAGACCCAGGUGUUUCUGCCCACUUUGUGCCAGAGAAAUAACCAAAGAACAAGCUAUCAUUCAUAGGAACACCAAGAAGAAGCACCCAUGUUGCUUUGUUACCUGCUCUCUUUAUGGAUCACUAGGCUUAGUAGGUUUCCAAGGCCACAGUUCUUCUUUUUCUUUUCUUUUGUUUAGUUUUAUUUUGCUUUUGUUUGGUUUUGCCAGUGGGAAAUCUCUUCUUUGCUAAGAGAAAUAGGCGACAGUUAUGGCUCAGAAUGAAUUCUGUGAGAUUUGAUGUUCUGUGCUGUGUUCAUGGGCUCUUUGAGGUCUAAAACAGGGAUUGUCUUGAGAAGACCGUGAGAGUCUGUACUGCUCCAUCAAAAAUGCCAACCAAGCAGUGUAGUGAGAAGGAAGAAAAUGAAAUGAGUUUCCUAUCCAUUGGUCUUUAGUUGUUACAACCCAAAUGUCACAUGUUGUUCAUUCUGGACUGGCUGUACUGAAAGGAAGGAAAACCAUCUCUACUGGUUGACAUGUAUUUUCUAAGGUUCCACAAGGUAUUUUUCUUCAGUUGGUCUCUAUUCUAUUUUUGCAUAAUAACCUGUCUAAUGGAGUCAUUCUGGUGUCCUUUCCAACAGUUUUGAAGUACAGCAUGUGUUGAUUAUCUCAGCUGAAUGAAUCUGAGUUCAUUUAUAAGUUGCCUUGUUUUGACUUUUUUUUUAAAUUUCUUUGUUCCUGCCUUCUCUGUCUAAAGCACACAAAAUUGUUUGUAGAGGGAAAAACAUACAAACAGUAUGAUUCAAUACAAUAAAGAACAGCUUGUUAAAAAUAUGCUUUCAGUAUAUGUGGAAUCCAAGCUUUUCUUCCUUCUGUGGUGUCUUGGUACAGAAAGUUUUAGCUGAAGUAUUUCUGGGACUUCCAUUAGAAAACCUUUUUUUCUGCUUAUGAUAACCUGACAAGUCUUCCUUUUCAGUUGAAAUGAUCUGUGUAUUCCUUUAAGUCAAAGGCAAUAUUUUACCAAAGUUCAAAUCAAACAUAUACACGUAUUUUUUAGCUUUAUGAAUGUUAAAAUACUUAUCAGAAAUAAAUAUGUCUGCAAUGAUUAGUUAUAGCAGGAAAAAUCUCUUUAUUCUUUUUCUCCUUCCUUCUUUUUCUCCAGCUCAUUGGAGGCAAUAAGAGCUUUGCUGUCUUUCCACUGAAAUUGAUCAAAUCCCAUUCCUUCAGCUGAAAAACUGCCAGUGGCUCAUUCUUAUGAACAAGGACAGUCUGCAUAUGUGGACUGCCAUUAAAGUUGACUUUAACUCAUGAGGAGUUGAAAUGACUGACAAUCUAUCUGCUUAGUGAACACACAGUUGUAUAUGUUCUCCUAAUGUCAGCCUACGUGUCUGGGUCUACUCACUGACAUGAAUACAUCUAAUGAAUGUUAACUACGUGGUAGUGUUUCAUUCUGGAGAUUUAUCACUGUAUAAGCCUCCUUAAAAGAGUACAACCAUCUCACUAUUGAGUCUGAUGUGUUUGGGCCUGCUUCUAAAAUUUCACAUGCCCAGGCAAACAGCAAAAGCAAGAAUGCUUUGAAUAAAAAAUUCAAAGCCCACAUGCUUUGAAUAACAAAUAAAUAAUGGGAUGCAGGUAGGGUUGCAGUUGUAAUGAGUAGCAGGGUGAAGAGAGAGGUAUGUGCCCCAAGGCACAGGGCCAGUGCAUAGGGAGCAAGAGAGAUAUGAGUGGAGGCAGAUGGACAGAGCAGUGGCCAAGAGCUCAGAGGCAGCGAUGCCUUUGCUGCAGGGUGGGGAUCAGUGAUCUUCUCUGGAAAAAAAGUGUGUACAGCAAUGGAUACUGUGGUGCUCAAAGUGGAUGACUCUUGCCAUUAGAAUCACCAGAAUGUUCACCCAACACACUUCUCUACAAGACCGCAUUUUAAUCAGGGUCAGAAGAAUGGUCACCCUGCACAAAGAACAGGUGCUUUUAGCACUUACAGGCAUGCUGCAUAAUGGAUGGGAGCAAUACCUCUUCAGCCAAAGCCGGCAAUCUUGUUUUCCUACUCAGAAGGUGGACCAGAAAUGUAUCCCAUAAGACUGACUCUUCCUCAGGCUAUUGAAUCAUAGUGUCUGCAUACUCUAGUGAACGGUGGAUUAACAAGCUAUAAGAUCAAUAAACAGAGCAAUUUCAACUGUCAUGAAGAACUGGAUAGUACUGAAAGGAUUUCUGAAGGACGAACAUCUACAUACCUCCCAGUUUUGGCUGAGAUAGAGUUUAUUUUCUUCACAGUGGCUGGUAUGUUGCCAUGUUUGGAUUUAGGAGAAAAAUGAUGUUGAUAAUGCACCAAUAUUUUAGUUGUUGCUCUGCAGUGCUUAUGCUUUUCAGCUUCUCAUGCUGUCUUGCUAGUGAAGAGGGAGCAGGGAGGGGACAAAGCGAGGGCAGCUGACCAAACUGGCCAAAGGGAUGAAUGAAACCAUGUUGUGCAUUCAGAACAAUAAAACUGGAAUGUGGCCACUGCCACUGCUCAGGGACUGUCUGGGCAUCUGUUGGUGUGUGAUGAGUAGUUGCAUUAUGCAUGAUUUGACUUCAGUAUAUAUUUAUUAUUGUUGUUGUUGUUGUCACUGUUGUUAUUAUUUUCCCUUCCUUUUCUGUCCUGACAAACUGUCUUUAUCUCAGCCCACAAGUUCAAUUUUUUUUCCAAUUCUCUACCCCAUCCCACUGGGAAGCAGUGAGCUGUGUGGUGCUGAGCUGCCUCCCAGGUUAAACCACAACAAUACUGAAAAAAGUAUCGGAUAAGAAAAAUAAGGUUUUUAGUGUUUCUGACUGGAGCCUAACUGUUGCUGCUGUCUUUGCAGCACAUGAUAGUAACUGUGAAAUUAAUUUAAAAUACAGUAUUUUCUUGGUCUGGAUUAAAGCUACAGUAUCUCUGUCAACUGUCCUCAUCAGCUAUUUGAGAAGCAAGAAGUUUCUUGUUAAUCAGACCCUUGAGGAGUGAGUUUCCAAGAACCACAUAUGCAAUUAUCUUAAGCAUGCUACGCUGCAGAUCCUAGCCCCCAGCCAACUCAUCUGUGUAUCAAAACACCAUUUUUUGUCCCUUCCCCUAAGACCAAGCCUAGCCAGGCAGAAGCAGGAGAGGAGGGGUGCUUAAAGCCAUCUUCUGCAGCCCAACCAUAUGUCAUGGGCAUUACUGGGGGUGGGGAAGAACAUGCAUUAAUGGGGAUGGCCUGCAAGCUGCAGUGAAUUUUCUUCUGCAGAUGGUGGGCUGUGGCUUAGCACUGGCAAUAGUUAGCAGCACUCUAGGGAGCAGCAAACUGACUGGUGGAAGUCCCUGGGGGUGCGGGUGUCUCUGUGGGGUUUGAUGCUCCUCCAGGACAACAGUGCUCCUGUAAGCCAUGGGGUAUGUGGAUCCCCCUGACAGGGCAAUGGCCAGCCAUGCACUGGAGACAGUAGCUGUGAACUUUACACAGGAACACCUGUGUCUGCUUAACCCUCAGCAGUUCUUGCUGUUGGCUCCCCCAUCACCAGCCCUACUUUCAUGUCCUUAAAUCUUUUCUCUGUCUUUUGUCACUGCCAGCUGCAAAAGAAAUUCACUGGAGCCAAGCUCUGCUUCUUUGGAAAGUCCUGGUGUCUUAUGAUGACUAUGGGAGCAGCAGGUCCUCCAGUGUACCUCAUGCCCCAUAAAUACUGUCCUUUUCCUCUUCAAAAAUAGAUAUUUUCCCACAGAGCUUGUCAUAACUCUCCUUAUUCAUUUAUAUCCAUUUGUUAUUUAUGGAGGAGGAAACAAAAGAGGAAUACAAGUAUACCUGAUAGUCUAUGGAGUAUAAUGGACUAGACCUUAAGCAGACAAGAAAUGCCCUCUUUGCCGUAUAUCAUUUCAAGAAAUCACCACUAAAAUUAUUAAGGAAGCACUUAGGACUUCUCUUUUUAGUAUUUUAACCUGGCAUGAAGAAAAAAAGUGGAUUAAUCUCAGCGAUAACCAUCUUUCUCUGCCUCAUUCCUCCCAUCUCUUUGAAUUUCUACACCAUGAAAGAGUCUCCCUUGCUAUGCUUCACAUUCCACACACCAGUUCCCCUCCGCCUUUCAGGCAUCAGGUAGGACUCUGAAUGAUGAGUUUUAAACUUAAAAUACUCUCUUGAGCACAAAGUUGUCAUUCUGGUUUUUCUAUGUGAAAUUGUAAUUAAAUGUGAUUGUGCAUAAA